rnacentral:rRNA from 1 species
AAAAACAAUUCUUAGUGGUGGAUCACUCGGCUCGUGCGUCGAUGAAGAACGCAGCCAGCUGCGUUAACUAAUGUGAAUUGCAGGAUACAUUGAUCAUCGAUAUUUCGAACGCACAUUGCGGCCCGGGUCCCCGUGAUCCGGACCACGUCCGUCUGAGGGUCGGCAA